AUAGAAUCAGGUUACAAUCAUCCUCAGAAAAAUGAUUUCUCAGCUGUGAAGAUACAGAACAGCAUUGAGUUGAAGCUAGAGAAAGUUAAACUCCAACAUUCAGCCUCCUACUACUGCAGCUGUGGGAUAUCAAAUCUCCACAGUGAUCCAUUCUACCUGCAGUCUGUACAAAAACCUCCAGAUCAACAAACAGUGUCUGUGACAUGAAGACAGCAGUAAACUACAGUCCAGGAUCACAUAGUUCAGAGAACUACAGUCCACUGUUACACCAUCACUUCAUGAUUGAUUCAUAUUUGUAUAUUUUCAUCUCUAGAAGCAUCUUUGAGAAGUGAAAGAUGUGCUACAGUGUGUAGAACUGAGCAAACAUUCAGCAGCAGGUUUUUGUACGAGGAUUUUUCACUGUGGAAGGAAACUGGUUCUAUACCUUUGGUUCUGGAACUAAACUGUAUGUAACAGAUGAGCAGGUAGUGAAGCCCAUGGUGAGCGUCUACCCAGCAGCAUCCACAGUCCACCUGGAGGGGAAGAGCUCCCUGCUGUGUCUGGCCUCAGCCAUGUUUCCUCCUCUGGUCCGCUUCUCCUGGAAAAAACAGAAGGAGGACGAGCGGCUGGAGGAUGUGGACCCUGCUGAGGGAGAGCAGCUGGAGAUCAGAGAGCCGGGACGCAGCGCCUCCAUCUGGCUGAUCCAUCAGCAACAGGACGGCACAUAUAAAUACAGCUGCUACGUCCAGCACGAGGGAGGAACAGUGGAGGCCCAGACACAACAAGCCUCCUGUCCUCCAGAGAGAGAACCAGCAGACCUGCCAGCUCUGCAGCAAGCUCACUGUAAGAUCAGCUGCUGCCUCUCUGCAUGGACAGCUGCAAUGUUCUGCUGCAUCACAGCUGCACAUCACUCUGUUCACUUUAUCAAUAAUCACCUGUCUGUCUGUCUGUCUGUCUGUCUGUCUGUCUGCCUGUCUGUCUGUCUGUCUGUCAGUCUGUCUGUCUGCCUGUCAGUCUGUCUGUCUGCCUGUCUGUCUGUCUGCCUGUCUGUCUGCCUGUCUGUCUGUCUGUCUGCCUGUCUGUCUGUCUCUCUGUCUGUCUGUCUGUCUGUCUCUCUGUCUGCCUGUCUGUCUGUCUGUCAGUGUCCUUCCAGUCUCAGUCUCAGGUGAAGCUGCUCUGUCUGCUGUCCACAGUGCUGAUAGUGAAGAGUCUGGUGUUCUGCUGUGGAAUCUCUCUGAUGAUGAUCCUCACAAACAAGGGACCGUCCACCAACUGCACACAUGCUGACUGACUGUUUGCUGCUGGACUUUUCUCAGCGUCACACCUCAUCAAUACAUCUCAUUGAUUUGAUCAGUGAUCAGAAACAUCAGCUGUGACGUGUUGUGCUUCGUUAUAAAUUGCACCUCUUCAUGCUCAUGUUAUUUGUCCUCCU
ensembl:lncRNA